rnacentral:rRNA from 1 species
AGCGUACAAGGUGGAUGCCUUGGCAAUCAGAGGCGAAGAAGGACGUGCUAAUCUGCGAAAAGCUUGGAUGAGUCGAUAAGAGGCGUUUAAUCCAAGAUAUCCGAAUGGGGAAACCCAGUAGAUGAAGAAUCUAUUAUCAACAAGUGAAUUCAUAGCUUGUUGAGGCAAACCGGGAGAACUGAAACAUCUAAGUACCCCGAGGAAAAGAAAUCAACCGAGAUUUCGUCAGUAGCGGCGAGCGAAAGCGAAAGAGCCAGUAAGUGAUAACAGUAUGGUUAGGAGAAUGUGUUGGGAAGCACAAUCAAAGAGGGUGAUAAUCCCGUAUCUUAAAACCAUAUUGUGGUACUAAGCUAACGAGAAGUAGGGCGGGACACGUGAUAUCCUGUUUGAAGAUGGGGGGACCAUCCUCCAAGGCUAAAUACUCCUGAUUGACCGAUAGUGAACCAGUACUGUGAAGGAAAGGCGAAAAGAACCCCGGUGAGGGGAGUGAAAUAGAACCUGAAACCUUGUACGUACAAGCAGUGGGAGCCUGAAAGGGUGACUGCGUACCUUUUGUAUAAUGGGUCAGCGACUUAUAUUUUGUAGCGAGGUUAACCGAAUAGGGGAGCCGAAGGGAAACCGAGUCUUAACUGGGCGACGAGUUGCAAGGUAUAGACCCGAAACCCGGUGAUCUAGCCAUGGGCAGGUUGAAGGUUGGGUAACACUAACUGGAGGACCGAACCGACUAAUGUUGAAAAAUUAGCGGAUGACUUGUGGCUGGGGGUGAAAGGCCAAUCAAACCGGGAGAUAGCUGGUUCUCCCCGAAAUCUAUUUAGGUAGAGCCUUGAGGUGACACCUUUGGGGGUAGAGCACUGUUUCGGCUAGGGGUCCAUCCCGGAUUACCAACCCGAUGCAAACUACGAAUACCAAAGAGUGAUACUCAGGAGACACACGGCGGGUGCUAACGUUCGUCGUGGAGAGGGAAACAACCCAGACCGCCAGCUAAGGUCCCAAAGUCUAUAUUAAGUGGGAAACGAAGUGGGAAGGCUUAGACAGCUAGGAUGUUGGCUUAGAAGCAGCCAUCAUUUAAAGAAAGCGUAAUAGCUCACUAGUCGAGUCGGCCUGCGCGGAAGAUGUAACGGGGCUGAAAUAUAGCACCGAAGCUGCGGCAUCAGACGAAAGUCUGUUGGGUAGGGGAGCGUUGUGUAAGCGGAUGAAGGUUAAUCGAGAGGUUAGCUGGACGUAUCACAAGUGCGAAUGCUGACAUAAGUAACGAUAAAACGAGUGAAAAACUCGUUCGCCGGAAGACCAAGGGUUCCUGUCCAACGUUAAUCGGGGCAGGGUGAGUCGGCCCCUAAGGCGAGGCUGAAAAGCGUAGUCGAUGGGAAACAGGUUAAUAUUCCUGUACUUGGUAAAGCUGCGAUGUGGGGACGGAGUAGGUUAGGUUAGCGUGCUGUUGGAUAUGCACGUUUAAGUUGGUAGGUGGGAAGUUUAGGCAAAUCCGGACUUCCUUAACACUGAGAGAUGAUGACGAGGCUCUACGGAGCUGAAGUAACUGAUACCACACUUCCAGGAAAAGCCACUAAGCGACAGGUUUUACUAAACCGUACUGAAAACCGACACAGGUGGUCAGGUAGAGAAUACUCAGGCGCUUGAGAGAACUCGGGUGAAGGAACUAGGCAAAAUAGCACCGUAACUUCGGGAGAAGGUGCGCCGGCGUAGAUUGUAAGGGCUAGCCCCUGAAGGUUGAACCGGUCGAAGAUACCAGCUGGCUGCAACUGUUUAUUAAAAACACAGCACUCUGCAAACACGAAAGUGGAGGUAUAGGGUGUGAUGCCUGCCCGGUGCUGGAAGGUUAAUUGAUGGUGUAAUCGAAAGAGAAGCACCUGAUCGAAGCCCCAGUAAACGGCGGCCGUAACUAUAACGGUCCUAAGGUAGCGAAAUUCCUUGUCGGGUAAGUUCCGACCUGCACGAAUGGCAUAAUGAUGGCCAGGCUGUCUCCACCCGAGACUCAGUGAAAUUGAAAUCGCCGUGAAGAUGCGGUGUACCCGCGGCUAGACGGAAAGACCCCGUGAACCUUUACUAUAGCUUGACACUGAACAUUGAAUUUUGAUGUGUAGGAUAGGUGGGAGACUAAGAAGUAGGAACGCCAGUUUCUAUGGAGUCAUCCUUGAAAUACCACCCUUUAACGUUUGAUGUUCUAACGAAGAUUACGAAACGUGGUCUCGGACAGUGUCUGGUGGGUAGUUUGACUGGGGCGGUCUCCUCCCAAAGCGUAACGGAGGAGCACGAAGGUUUGCUAAUCACGGUCGGACAUCGUGAGGUUAGUGCAAUGGUAUAAGCAAGCUUA